UACGUAGGGCGCAAGCGUUGUCCGGAAUUAUUGGGCGUAAAGAGCUCGUAGGCGGCUCGUCGCGUCGACCGUGAAAACCCGCGGCUUAACUGCGGGCUUGCGGUUGAUACGGGCGGGCUAGAGUUCGGUAGGGGAGACUGGAAUUCCUGGUGUAGCGGUGAAAUGCGCAGAUAUCAGGAGGAACACCAGUGGCGAAGGCGACUGUCUGGACUGAUACUGACGCUGAGGCGCGAAAGCGUGGGGAGCAAACAGG
rnacentral:rRNA from 1 species